rnacentral:rRNA from 1 species
AAAGAGAAAUCGAGUAGGGCCCUGGGGAGAGUACACGCGCAAGCGAGAAAUUUAAAGGAAAUUGACGGAAGAACACCACAAGGAGUGGAGUGUGCGGCUUAAUUUGACUCAACGCGGGACAACUUACCGGGCCCGACGACCGUAAGAGUGUGACACACGAUAGGUCGAAGAGUGGUGCAUGGCCGUUAACGACGAGUGGAGUGAUCUUUGGGUUAAGUCCGUAAAUUAGUGAGACCUCAGCCGUAAGGGACAGGUGCGCAAAGCACAGGAAGGAUGGGUCAAGGACAGGUCAGUGAUGCCCUUAGAUGGUCCGGGCUGCACGCGCACUACAGUGGUCGCCGAAAUUAGCUGAUAAUUUUAAAGGCGAUCGAGAGGGAAUGAGCUUUGUAAGAGGCUCAGGAACGAGGAAUUGCUAGUAAUCGCGGACUCAUUAAGACGCGAUGAAUACGUCCCUGUUCUUUGUACACACCGCCCGUCGUUAUCGAAGAUGAAGACAGGCGCGAACGAUCUACCAGAAAGUGAGCGCAGGUCUUUAGAUCUGAUACAAGUCGUAACAAGGUAGCUGUAGGUGAACCUGUAGCUGG